rnacentral:rRNA from 1 species
GGGUUUGAUCAUGGCUCAGGAUGAACGCUAGCGGCAGGCCUAAUACAUGCAAGUCGAACGGUAAGGCUCUAACUUGUUAGAGUACACGAGUGGCGCACGGGUGCGUAACGCGUAUGCAACCUACCUGUAACAGGGGAAUAGCCCUUUGAAAGAAGGAUUAAUGCCCCAUAAUGUUUUUGAGAGGCAUCUCUCAAUUCCUAAAACUCCGGUGGUUACAGAUGGGCAUGCGUGACAUUAGUUUGUUGGUGAGGUAAAAGCUCACCAAGACUUCGAUGUCUAGGGGGUCUGAGAGGAUGAUCCCCCACACUGGUACUGAGACACGGACCAGACUCCUACGGGAGGCAGCAGUAAGGAAUAUUGGGCAAUGGGCGAAAGCCUGACCCAGCCAUGCCGCGUGCAGGAUGACAGCUCUAGUAGUUGUAAACUGCUUUUAUACGGGAAGAAAAGCACCUACGUGUAGGUGUCUGACGGUACCGUAAGAAUAAGGACCGGCUAACUCCGUGCCAGCAGCCGCGGUAAUACGGAGGGUCCAAGCGUUAUCCGGAUUCAUUGGGUUUAAAGGGUGUGUAGGCGGAAAGGUCAGUCAGUGGUGAAAUCCUGCAGCUUAACUGUAGAACUGCCAUUGAUACUUCCUUUCUUGAGUCUAGAUGAAGUGAGCGGAAUGUGUCAUGUAGCGGUGA